GGAGAGGUGGCAGAGCGGUUGAAUGCGGCGGUCUCGAAAACCGUUAAGGGUUUUAUAGGCCCUUCGGGGGUUCGAAUCCCCCCCUCUCCGCCA
rnacentral:tRNA from 1 species